AUACAGCUGCUUGGAGUAAACGUUGUUUAUUACCAGCACAUGAUAAAUUCAAUCUCAUUGUGGAGACAAACCAGAGAACCAGAGCUCAAUCGUUUGUGGAAUUGUCACAUGUUAUAUUCUGUGCAUGGGUCGCAAUUAGACAAAUACAAUCAAGAACUGGAAUCUGUUCCUGGUUGCAAACUGGUGAAAUUCAUGAACCACACCAUCAGCAUUGGCAGUGAAGUGACAACUAGAAUUCUGAGGUGCAGUACUGCCAAUAUACUUUGAGAGGAUGAGGCUGUCACUGGCUAGACUAGCAUUUAUUGCCCAUCACAAAUUGCUCAGAGGGCAGUUAAGAGUCAACCAUAGUGUUGGGGAUCUGGAGUCACAUGAAGGACAGAUCCGCUGCUCAACUGGCAAUAUUUGAUCCUCCCGUUUGCUGAUGUUGGCCCUAGAAGACUGGCCACUUUCUGCUCUGGAGAAAGUGAGGACUGCAAAUGCUGGAGAUCAGGCCCACAUUCCUGAUGAAGAGCUCAUCGACUCUCCAGCUCUUCGGAUGCCACUUUCUGUUCCAUAGACUGUUCUUGGACAGAUCCCCUGAAUAUGAGUGUCCUAAGAAGACAACUGUGUGUGGCUAAGUUUCUGAACUGAGUGCAGACUGUGAGUGUGCUAACAUUACUAGAAGUGCCUGACUAACAGUGGCCUCCAUUGAGUGGACGGAGUUCUAGCCCAAUCGUUGGAAAUCAAGCAGUUCUCAUAGUUAUUCCUAAGAGAGCUAUCUUCUCCAGAUGGAAAAUGGAUCAGAAGAAGAGUAGGAUGACCCAACGAAAACCUCAUUAACAGCUUGGCUAGAGAGCAGGACGAUGUCUUCAAAACUUUAAUGGGACCAAUAUAUUCUACACCAACAGCCUGUUCAUCCUCUUGUCUCAUGAGACAUCUCCAGUUGUCAUGGUUUUAUACUUAAUGUAUCCUCUCUAAA